rnacentral:rRNA from 1 species
UACGUAGGGUGCGAGUGUUAAUCGGAAUUACUGGGCGUAAAGCGUGCGCAGGCGGUUUUGUAAGUCUGUCGUGAAAUCCCCGGGCUCAACCUGGGAAUUGCGAUGGAGACUGCAAGGCUAGAAUCUGGCAGAGGGGGGUAGAAUUCCACGUGUAGCAGUGAAAUGCGUAGAGAUGUGGAGGAACACCGAUGGCGAAGGCAGCCCCCUGGGUCAAGAUUGACGCUCAUGCACGAAAGGCGUGGGGAGCAAACGAGG